rnacentral:rRNA from 1 species
UACGUAGGGCGCAAGCGUUUGUCCGGAAUUAUUGGGCGUAAAGAGCUCGUAGGCGGUUUGUCGCGUCGGGAGUGAAAUCCACUGGCUUAACUGGUGGCUUGCUUUCGAUACGGGCAGACUGGAGGUAUGCAGGGGAGAACGGAAUUCCUGGUGUAGCGGUGAAAUGCGCAGAUAUCAGGAGGAACACCGGUGGCGAAGGCGGUUCUCUAGUACGGUACUGACGCUGAGACGCGAAAGCGUGGGGAGCGAACAGG